AUGACGUCAAGCCUCAUGGCCGUUUAUGCUUAGGGCUACACACGUGCUACAAUGGGUGGUACAAAGAGAAGCCAACUCGCGAGAGCGCGCCAAUCUCAAAAAGCCAUCCUCAGUUCGGAUUGGAGUCUGCAACUCGACUCCAUGAAGUUGGAAUCGCUAGUAAUCGCGGAUCAGCAUGCCGCGGUGAAUACGCUUCCCGGGCCUU
rnacentral:rRNA from 1 species